rnacentral:lncRNA from 1 species
CGCUGCCCAGUCCUAGAAACAGGCUAAGUCCUUUUGGGGCUUUAAAGCAGCGCCAGCCUGAAAACACCAGACUGAAGAGUGGAUGAUGGAUGGGGGCAGGCUAGGAACUGGCUGGGAGCCCUGAAUCACUCUGCAGUUCAGGCAUCACCACACUGGAGGAGACUUUGGCAGCGUCCAUGCUUACCUUCCAGCUGAAUCAUCCCGCUGGGCUGGGCUGAGCCGCACCUGGCCAGGGACAGGACGCCAGAGAAGGAGGCUGCCCUGCCAAGGGACGGUGCCUGGCUGGGACUGGGGCGAGCUCUGGGGCUGGGGCUGCCGCUGGUUCCCAAGCACGGGCACCGCCACCCUCCUGCCUGCUGAAGGCAGAUGCGUCUGGUCCGUCUCUGAGAAAAAAGCAGAUUGACCAGACACAGGGUCAGGAGGUUUAUGGGGUCACUCUUUUCCCCUCUGUGUCGCGGAGUGGAGCCAGUGCCCUGCCAUCCCUUGGGAAGCAGAAGCUCGGAGCCCGGCCAUCAGUGGGUGCAACUGCUGCCACUGGGCUCGUCUUAGAAGUCGUGGCCUGUUUCCAAAACACAGCGUGCUGGACAUGGUACAGACACAGUCUGCAUGCUUACAGGCUGAGCCAGGGGGUUAAGUGUCUUCACCGGGCUUCAUCUCUCCAUCUGUAUCCAGUGGUGUCCAGCUGGAUCCAGGCUGGUUUUGCAUGGGUGAGUACAGAAGUCUGGCCAGAGUUUGGUGUCCGUCCUCCCAUCCUUUGUGCACCACAGCGGACGUCUUCACCUCCGCUUUGGAGCAGCACCUGUCCCUUCAGUUGAAAACUGCAGUCUGAACACAGAGAUCAAUUCGUAUUAGGGGCAGCUGGAAGUGGCACAGAGGGAACUUUUCUUCAUUUGCAUCUAAAGUGGUGUUCUGACAUCACUGUAGCUCCUUAGAGGGUCCUAUAAACAUGGUAUUUGAUGGACAUGGCACAGAAAGGACAACAGCAGACUAUUAUGUCUGGUUUUGGCAGUGUGAUGCUACCUUUCCCUGUUCCAUGGGGAGAAGAGAAACUUGUAGGUCGAUUUGAUCUUUUUUGGCAUAGCACAUUCUGCGCACUGCAGUGCCACCCAUGCUCGUUUGGUAAGGCUACCUUCCCAUCAUUUUGAAGAGAUGUUACUGAUUUUAUUAAUGAUUAGAUCAACUCAUCAUGCAACGAGAGCAGUGUUCAGGCAUCUCCUCGAGACUGGAAUAUGUUCUUUGAUCCUGAACCAUAGCAUUUGUGCCCUCUUCUAAAUCCUGUAUUUCAAAUAAAUCUUGCAACCAAGGUGGGAAGGAUCUACCG